rnacentral:rRNA from 1 species
GAUGAACGCUGGCGGCGUGCCUAAUACAUGCAAGUCGAGCGAACAGACGAGGAGCUUGCUCCUCUGACGUUAGCGGCGGACGGGUGAGUAACACGUGGAUAACCUACCUAUAAGACUGGGAUAACUUCGGGAAACCGGAGCUAAUACCGGAUAAUAUAUUGAACCGCAUGGUUCAAUAGUGAAAGACGGUUUUGCUGUAACUUAUAGAUGGAUCCGCGCUGCAUUAGCUAGUUGGUAAGGUAACGGCUUACCAAGGCAACGAUGCGUAGCCGACCUGAGAGGGUGAUCGGCCACACUGGAACUGAGACACGGUCCAGACUCCUACGGGAGGCAGCAGUAGGGAAUCUUCCGCAAUGGGCGAAAGCCUGACGGAGCAACGCCGCGUGAGUGAUGAAGGUCUUCGGAUCGUAAAACUCUGUUAUUAGGGAAGAACAAAUGUGUAAGUAACUAUGCACGUCUUGACGGUACCUAAUCAGAAAGCCACGGCUAACUACGUG